CGGCGGACGGGUGAGUAACGCGUAGGAAUCUACCCAGUAGUGGGGGACAACUUGGGGAAACUCAAGCUAAUACCGCAUACGCCCUAUGGGGGAAAGCAGGGGAUCUUCGGACCUUGCGCUAUUGGAUGAGCCUGCGUCGGAUUAGCUAGUUGGUGGGGUAAAAGCCUACCAAGGCGACGAUCCGUAGCUGGUCUGAGAGGAUGAUCAGCCACACUGGAACUGAGACACGGUCCAGACUCCUACGGGAGGCAGCAGUGGGGAAUAUUGCGCAAUGGGGGAAACCCUGACGCAGCCAUGCCGCGUGUGUGAAGAAGGCCUUAGGGUUGUAAAGCACUUUCAAUAGGGAGAAAAGGCUUACGGUUAAUACCCGUGAGAGUUGAUGUUACCUAUAGAAGAAGCACCGGCUAACUCCGUGCCAGCAGCCGCGGUAAU
rnacentral:rRNA from 1 species